rnacentral:tRNA from 1 species
ACCCCGAAGCGGACAUUCCCCUGACUGUUAAUCCGCAGGUCCCAGGUUCGAGCCCUGGUCGGGGAGCCA